AACGCGAAGAACCUUACCUGGCCUUGACAUGCAUUGUGUCGCCGGUGAAAGCCGGCUAGCGUAGCAAUACGCGCUUUGCACAGGUGCUGCAUGGCUGUCGUCAGCUCGUGUCGUGAGAUGUUGGGUUAAGUCCCGCAACGAGCGCAACCCUUAUCUUCAGUUGCUACCAUUUAGUUGAGCACUCUGACGAAACCGCCUCGGAUAACGGGGAGGAAGGUGGGGAUGACGUCAAGUCCUCAUGGCCUUUAUGUCCAGGGCUACACACGUGCUACAAUGGCCGGUACAAACCGUUGCAAACCCGCGAGGGGGAGCUAAUCGGAAAAAGCCGGCCUCAGUUCGGAUUAGAGUCUGCAACUCGACUCUAUGAAGCUGGAAUCGCUAGUAAUCGCGGAUCAGAAUGCCGCGGUGAAUACGUUCCCGGGCCUUGUACACACCGGUACUA
rnacentral:rRNA from 1 species